CCUGGGUGGGAAUAACCCAAAAAAAAAGAAACAAGAAAAGAACAACAAGCCUCAAGCUUUAAGUCCGCAAAAAUAUGCGAUUGGACAGUGUGGCAGGCAGCAGCUACUGAUCCAAUGAUACGCACCUAGCUCCGUGAGGAAGCGCAGACUGGAGAGAAUGGAGAAGAGGAGAGGACCGACCUGUGCAGGGAAACACACACACACACACACACACACACACACACACACAUUAAAGUGCACACCAUUACAGUAGGCACACUGGUGCAUAAACACACAUGGCUCCACACAUUUACACACACACCUGUGGAAAGUCAUCACACAAACACACAUGCACAAAUGAAACACCUGGGAAAGAAAGGAUGCAUGCUCACACUAACCUGUAGCAAACACAUGCCCAGACACAUUUGCACACACACACACACACACACACACACACACUUUAACACAAAUGGUGCCCGAGUGCACAGUGACCUCUUGAGGACCAUAACAGGAGAUUCUGUCUCUAUUCAGCUCUGCCUGCGAGGAGCCUUCUCCCUUAGGCACUGUGUGUGUGCGUGUGUGUGUGUGUGUGUGUGAGUGUGUGUGUGAGUAUGGUAAUGCAGUGGGUCUGCAGUCGCUACUAACUGUGUUUGGGAACACUCCUCACGUCAGCACAGCCUGCCGCAGCAGCAUUCAGAACUUUCUAUUCCUCUCCUCAACAAUCUUCCAUCCACCCAUCCAUCUCUUUGUCUGCCUGUCUGACUCUGUGUCUGCUCGUGUGCUUGUUUGCUUAUUCCUCUGUGGUGCCCUCUGCUCACGUCUCCUGAGUCCUCCGUACCUCCCCUUUCCCCCCCUUUUUUAAAAGCAGGUUGUCUUUGUAUCUUUUUUUAAUUCGAAAAGAAAAAAAAAACCAAGCAGGUCAGUUUGUGGAAAGGAUUUAUUUGUAUAGAUGGGGUUUGAGAGGUGAUUUGAAAGGAUGACAUUGACUUAUAGUCUAAGCUUUUCAAAGCCAUAGGGCCUUUCACUCAUUCUUUUUAACCGAGACUGCCAAAAAAAGACACUGCGCGAGUAUCCGAGGCUGUGCUCAGACUCAUAUCGGAUUAAAAGGUUAGAGUUGUAGCUAGAGGUUGGGCCCGUACAACCCGAAGAAGUUAUCAAUAAAAUCCAAGGAAUAACUCUAAAACUGCCACACCAUGAAUGUAAGGGCGUAAAAAUAAGCUACAGCUAUUUGCGCUAUCUGGAGACGUAUCACAUCUCCUCAGUCGAGAGGGAUAAAUAAGGUGUCACAGGACUUGAGACAAACAGCUCAGAAAGCAUGCUUGAUUCUCUGUCGUGAAUUUUGUUGGAAAUAUUACCCAGCUGAAGUAAACAUGAUGAUUUGGGAGAGCUUGGAUAAAAUACGAUGCCAAAAGUCUAUUAUCUGGAUAAAGGACCGAAACAGAGCGCUCGGUUUGACUUGAAAUUGAUUCAUGGGCAAUAACAAGGUGCUAGCAACAAAACAAUACUUCAGUUUUGUCAGAGUAUAGAAUAUUUUACGGAGAGUUUAUUUUCUUGUUGCAAUGUUUACUAAUGUGAGCAGCUGACAGGACGUGAACUUGGACUCACGUCGUUUACUAGCAAGCUGUCAGAUCUAAACAGAGAUCUGAAUCUGUUAGGACGGGGAGCCCUCGUACUUGGACGUUAGGACUGGAGGGGAUAUAGUGUCCCCUGUGUUUGUCAUCACUCUUUUCACUGAGGAAAGAAUAAAGACAAAAGCAUGAGACAUCCCUUGUCACUGAUGUGCAACUUGCAAAAUUAAUGUGAUUCAUUUGCAAAAAGAAUAUAUGUCUACAAAUGUAAUAAAGUCUAUUUAGAUUUGAUAAUAGCCUUUAUAUCAGGAUAAUCUAUCCAUACCUAAUUAACCUAAUUGCGACAAAGCUUAAUGAGGCCCAUUCUGUUCACAGAGUCCGUGUAGGCAGGAGGUUGAGAUGGAUGGAUGGAUCAACAAAACACCAACCAGGACUGCUGUUUGCUUUCCGUUUCCCACUGACAGUCGACGUUUAGAUGGUUCUGGUAAUCCAUGGUUCCUGACCGAGGAAUUUAACUCUUCACACAUCCCAACCUAAACAAGAUGGACAAGUGGUCGUUCCUCCUGCACAUGGGCAGUGCCGCUCUGCAGUUGCCUCUGAACAGAUACAGUGAUCCACAGCAGUACCAGGACACACCUCUCAUUUCCACCGUCACACCAGUCCUUAUUCAUCGUAAAGCACUCUCCCUCUCUCCUCAGAGUCCUCUACGUUGUCAGAUCGGCAUAUAGAAGAAGUGUCACCGGUUGAAUGGCGCCGUCCAGGAUUUAGCCAAGUUCAAUAAAUCAAAUUAUAUUACAGUUAUCCUGUUGGAAACUGAUGCUGCGCAGAGGUCAUCCACUUUAUUUCCAACAUCUGUACAAUGGCUUGCAGGAUGCUGGUUCAGCUGGUGCCCAUCUUCACCAUCUUUCCUUGAUGUUUACAUCUGAAAACCUCGACCUGGCUAGCUAGCAGAAGUCAGCAGAGGGAAAGUUUACAGACUGGUGUGUUGAUUUUCUCAUCCCAGUGAGUGACUCACAGCCACAUGCCUCCACUGUCCAAAGCUAACCACAAAAAGCACCACCAAGACUUGCAAAAUAGACAUAAGAGCCUAAAUUUAGGCUCAAAUUUAGUGGAGCUGACAGAGAGGGGACUGGAAUCAUCCUCAGUAUAUUCUGUAAGUUUUGCAACACUAUGAGCAUUGUCUACUGAGAAACUGAUACUGGCACCACGGCUAGUGUUUGAUUCAAGUUAUUUUAACAUCUGCAAGGCAAAAUCAUGAAUACAAGAGGACGUUUGUAGUGUUGUAAUCCCAGUAGAACCUCUUCAAAACUGUGAAAAACAGAGAAAAGCAGAAAUCGCUGGAAAUGGUGUUAUACUGCAUCUGACAAAUGAUGAAAAAUAAAUGGCUGGCUGAGACUGAGAAUUCACAGUUACAGAAAUGCCUUUUCUCCUGUCAUUUGAUUACUUAAACCUGUUGCGUAUCUCAUAAAAAUGUUGCUCUUAAACCACAUUUUAAAUCUGUUUUUAAUGCAUAUGGCUCAUUACUUUUCUUACUGCUGUUUACUGUGCAGGGAAAUGCAAACAGACACACACAAACAGAUGAACCCAAUUUACACAUUGCAGUUUUUCUCAACUGCUAAGACAUGCUUAAUGAAACUGUGACCCACUUGAUCCUCAUCAUCACCUUCUCAGCACAGCAGAGGUCUUCUCUCAUGAAUGUGUUAACAUGGGUGCAUUGGUUUCAUACAUUUUUCAAACCCUUUUUCAAAACAGUUAACACAGAUCUCAUGGAAUGACCCCAAACUCUAUUGGAUUAACCGUGUUAAACAGUUAAACAAAAGCUGAUAGAAAUUACUCCCAUAAUUACGACUCUCUGAUGCACCUGUGUGAAACCCCUUUACACAGCUCUUCAACCCGCAGUUAGUUUGUAUCCACCUACAAAAGAUGCCACCUGUGUUGCUAUUUGCAAGCAUGGAUCAAAGAGGCCAAAGGCACAUAAGCAAAGGAAGAAGCCGUGGCAUAGGGGAGCCAAGUAUUCAGCAUUUCUGAAUUAGAAAAAUAUGGAAACAAGACUAGGCUGUUGUGGUCCAGCAAAAAAGUAUGACACGGGAAAAUCUGAUCUAGUACUGUAAGAAAAAUGUUCCUCAGGAUUUCAGAGCUUGGAUGCCAUUCUUUAUUGGUUCUGUGGUGAAGAAAGAAGGCAGUAGUAAAUAAGCUGUACCAUAAUAAAUGUCCAAAUUUGUGUAGUCUAGGUGCUUACUGUAGGUCUUACAAUUAAUGGGCACGCAAAGACCUGCAUGCAAGAAUAAAGUGAUGACAGUAUUUCUACAAGAUAUCUCAAAAAGUGCAGAUGCAGAGUGCAGCAGGGUUAGUUUUAUCUACUAAAAUCAUUUUCAGAGAAAGAAAACAAUUCAUGCUGUGAUAUGCCUGCUUGCCUUUUUUUGGCACAUACUAUAACUAUGUAAAGUAUCAACGA